rnacentral:rRNA from 1 species
GAAGUAAAAGUCGUAACAAGGUUUCCGUAGGUGAACCUGCGGAAGGAUCAUUAUCGAAACAUACAAGUCCGAAGUGGGGAGAGGUAAAGGGGGAGGACUGUCGCUGGCAUGUCGACAUGCAUGUGCACGUAGUACCCCUUUCCUUUCCUUUCGGCAAAACACCGUCACACCUGUGCACCUGUCGUAGGUCUGCCCCCCMUACUAGGGGAAGGACCUAUGUCUCUCCAUCACACGCAUGUCUAUAGAAUGUCUAGUUGAUAAUGGAAACGAAUCGUAAUACAACUUUCAGCAACGGAUCUCUUGGCUCUCGCAUCGAUGAAGAACGCAGCGAAUUGCGAUAAGUAAUGUGAAUUGCAGAUUUUCAGUGAAUCAUCGAAUCUUUGAACGCACCUUGCGCUCCUUGGUAUUCCGAGGAGCAUGCCUGUUUGAGUGUCAUUCAUAUCCUCAACCAUGCCUUGGAUUGACUUCGAGGCGUGGCUUGGACUUGGGAGUUGCCGGCGACUCGACUUUGGGACGUCGGCUCUCCUUAAAAGCAUUAGCAAGGGGGGGAUGGUGGUGGCAAGACCGACCUUCGACGUGAUAAUGAUCGUCGUGCUCGGGAUGCACGARUUGACCGUCCUUUGCUUCCAAAUCGCCCGGCGUCGGCCGUCUUUGGAACUUGACCUCAAAUCAGGUAGGACUACCCGCUGAACUUAAGCAUAUC